UACGUAGGGUGCAAGCGUUGUCCGGAAUUAUUGGGCGUAAAGAGCUCGUAGGCGGUUUGUCGCGUCUGCUGUGAAAACCCGAGGCUCAACCUCGGGCCUGCAGUGGGUACGGGCAGACUAGAGUGCGGUAGGGGAGAUUGGAAUUCCUGGUGUAGCGGUGGAAUGCGCAGAUAUCAGGAGGAACACCGAUGGCGAAGGCAGAUCUCUGGGCCGUAACUGACGCUGAGGAGACGAAGCAUGGGGAGCGAACAGG
rnacentral:rRNA from 1 species